GCUGCCUCUGCCGCAUGGCCGGGGACACAAGAGCUGGGAUGGCGAGCACAUGUGGCCCCCUUGGCAGCUCGGCUGUCCUCUAGAGGCAGGGCCCAGGAGUCCAGUCACACACAGUCCCUUCCCCGACUUCCUCUCCAGAGAAGAGUCAACCCCCUGCCUUACCAACGGCUGCCCCAAAGAUCUAAGAGAGCCUACCAUGUGCCAAGUCUUCGUAAGUCACUGGAGAUGCGGAGAGAAAAACACACAAUUACUGUCUUCAAGUGUCUCCGCUCGGCGGGGGAGUCAGACAUGGCUCAUGCCCACCCAGUGGAACGUGCGCUGUGAUCCCCAUCGUGCAGACGAGGCAACCAAGGCACACAAGGAAAGCUACUUGCUGAGGCUCACAGAGCUGCUCAGAGACAAAAGGCAA